rnacentral:misc_RNA from 1 species
AACGCACAUUGCGCCCCUUGGUAUUCCAUGGGGCAUGCCUGUUCGAGCGUCAUUUGUACCCUCCAGCCCUGCUGGGUGUUGGGCGUUUGUUCCGCCGCGCGCGUGAACUCGCCUCAAAUGCAUUGGCAGCCAGCCGUCCCGCGUGGGAGCGCAGCACAUUUUGCGCUCUCCGCUGGGUGCGGCGGCGUCCACAAGCCUAUACCUUUACGCUUGACCUCGGAUCAGGUAGGGAUACCCGCUGAACUUAA